AUUGAACGCUGGCGGCAUGCCUUACACAUGCAAGUCGAACGGUAACGGGCCUUCGGGUGCCGACGAGUGGCGAACGGGUGAGUAAUGCAUCGGAACGUACCCAUCAGUGGGGGAUAACUCUCCGAAAGGAGGGCUAAUACCGCAUAUUCUGUGCGCAGGACAGCGGGGGACCGCAAGGCCUCGCGCUGAUGGAGCGGCCGAUGUCAGAUUAGCUAGUUGGUGGGGUAAAGGCCUACCAAGGCGACGAUCUGUAGCGGGUCUGAGAGGAUGAUCCGCCACACUGGGACUGAGACACGGCCCAGACUCCUACGGGAGGCAGCAGUGGGGAAUUUUGGACAAUGGGGGCAACCCUGAUCCAGCCAUGCCGCGUGAGUGAAGAAGGCCUUCGGGUUGUAAAGCUCUUUCGGCCGGGAAGAAAUCGCAUCUCCUAAUACGGGGUGUGGAUGACGGUACCGGAAUAAGAAGCACCGGCUAACUACGUGCCAGCCGCCGCUGUAA
rnacentral:rRNA from 1 species